GUAUUUUCCCAGGAAUUUUGGUCUAAAUGAUUUUGUGGAUUUUCAGUGUUUAAGAUUUGUGUACUGAAACUAAAUAUGAUUGUUUUAAUAGGAAACAGUGUUGCAAAAAGGAACCUGGAUUCUUUCAGGGAGGUCCCUACCUUGAGUUAUGUGGGGCUGGGUCCUCACUUCAAUGCCAAUUCCAGAUAUUUUGACAAGGUAGCAGCUUCCAAGAGAAAAUGGGUAAGUCACUGCGCUAGAUGACUAAAAACUGUAUGAUUCUUGCCUCUUAUUCUAGGUGUUUGAUGCCUUUGAACGAAUAAAAAAACAAAGCAUAAGAGUGUCGCUUAGACACAAUAUGAUGACAGCUUCCAAAGAACUGAUAAAACAAAUAAAAAACAUCCAGUUUUCUAAGAGAGAAACCAUCUGUUUGUGUAUUGAAAAGAACAUCCACUGACUAGGUAAAAAAAAAACAUCGACUACACUCCUAAAAAAACACAACAACCAAAUCAAACCGGCAGAAUUACCAACAGUGAAUAAAUAGGCAAUAUGCAACCAAUAGACAGGAGUUAAGUUAACGAUAACGGACCUAUUAGCCAUCUGUUCUGACAUAGGUCGAAUUCUUUGAUGAAUCCACCCCAAUCAACUUCAGAAGAGUCAGCAGAAGGAGAAUUCCACACAAUGUUAUUCAUCUUAACAUUCAAUUCUCCGUACCUAGCGUAACCUCCAAGCUUGAAUUGUGACUUCUUCAGUAUGUGCCAGAUGCACCAUCGGUGGAAAGUAUCUGGUAGGACCUUCCUAAUAGCACCGGCCAUGGCCUUGCACUGGUCAGUGAUGAUCCCCCUUGGCGCAGUCCCGACGCAUCUCACCCAUUUCAUGAACACCCACUCAAAACUAGGGAUCUCCUUGCUCCCAAGUAAAGCACAACCAAGAAGAGUAUAUUUCGCAUGGUGGUUUACACCGACAAAGGAUGUAAACGGUAGACCAUGCCUGCAAAAAUACCAAAAACAAAUGACAGACCCAAAAACAAAUUAAAAAAAUAACUGCUUUUCUGAUUGACCCAUAAGUAUACAGACCUGUUUCUUCUGUAAGUGGUGUCAAACGACCCACAUCUCCAUAAUAUUCAUACGAAACCCUACACCUUGCAUCUACCAAGAGUGCGUACCUGAAAUUAUUAGCAUCGUCAACAUCUAUGGCAUAAAAGAAGUUGGGAUUGAUCUCUUUCAUUCGAACGAAAUAAUUCAUCAUCUCCUUAAAGUCUGCAUUGUCAUCAGCACAUUGGAGAUUGCUUGUGAUGUAAUUUCUGACAUCCUUUUCGGAAAAACCCAAGUUUGAAGACCCACCAACCUCGUUUGCCAAUGCUAGAUACGUUGUUGGGUCUUAUGCCAGCCUUGUCGUUAUCUGUAAUGACGCACUUAGCAUGCAUCGUCAACUACUCAUGAUAGUAGACCGCUUUCUUAGCCGAACAAGGGUGAGAAUGCCUCAAUUCUAAUCUAGACACAAUCCAACUUUCCUUCUCCCUAUCCAUCAUGACAUAUAUCCUUGCUCUGCAUCUCAUGGUUGUAAUUCUGUUUGCCCGAGUUGCUGCCUUCAAUCGAGACUCCCGAUAACCUUCUCGCGUGCAGUGAAUAGAUUGAUUAAUGGGUAUCUUUGAUUCCUUCCGCGUCUUGUUAAAAUUCGUGUUCCUGACUUUAGUUACGAACCCAACUUUCUUUGCAUAAUUUGCAUAAAAUUUAUGUGCCAGAGACAACGAAUCAAAACACAUUUCUAUGACUGAAAUUUCCUCUUCACUAUUCCCGCUCUGAUCCGGCAACUGUAAUAUCAAUUCACAAAACCAAAUACCAAUUAAAAGUAUCAUUAACGCACUAACUAUAACGUGGUAACCAAGGUAGUUAAAAUCGCGUUUCAACACGUGAAAACGCACGAUUUCACGUUUUUGAAUCUUCUCUCCAUGUCGAUUUUGCUUCUCGUCCAGAACUCACCUGUAUCUUGUGGAAUCGCCGUGCAAAAGCGCAGAGCCGCCAAAAUCGCCGAUUUUGCCGCGAUGUUGCGUUCAAGAUGGAGGAAGCUCUUUUCUUGGCCCUGAUUGCAGCCCAAUCCAACCCAAUAGCCUAAUUUGAAUAGAAGACUAUGGAAGAUGGGGAGCCCUAGCAGACUAGCAUUUGAAUUUUCCGUGACCAAAAUUCCCAAUUUGGAGUGUCACCGACUUGCCAUAAGGUUUGCUACCGUUGUUGUCGAAUCAGACUGGUGGUGGCUAGGCUGUGUGAGCGUCACUUUGCGAUUGUGAUUUACGAGAUUCUCUGGCUCUGCCUCUUUGUCUCUGGUUCUCUGGCCCUACCUCUCUAGCUCUGGAAUUUGGAUUGUUGCUCCUCUUCUCCUCUCCUUCACUGGUAGUUCAGGUAAGUUAAAAGCUCUUUUUUAAUUUUUAUCAUCUUCAAUGCUCAAUCUGUUGUUGUGCUUGUUUAUUAUUGAUUAUGUUGCAGGUUGAAUUGAUAUUACCUUUGUUGGCUUAUCAAUUAUAUUGCAGAUUGAUUAUAUUGUUCAAUCUGGAAUAUGGUUUUAUGUGAAUUAUAGUAGGUUUUCAAAUUGAGGUUAACUUAUGUGUUCAUGUUUAUUGCAAGCAUGUAUUUCAUAUCAGUAUGCUGUAUGUAUAUGAUAUAGCUUUUGUAUUGUUUAUUGAUUUUUCUUCUUUGAGAUAUGCAAUUUUAAUGAUUUAGUAAUCUAAAGAUAUUAUUAUUGUAUGCUGUUUUUGCUUUAUCUAUUAAAUAAUCUUUGAAUUUCUUUUUGUUUAGUUGGUUUAUUUUAGAUAUGGAACAUGAAACUUCUAUUGUGAAAGUUGAGGCUCAUUUUUCCUUAAUAUGCCUAUGUUAUGUUUUAGUUAAGGAUAGUUCAAUCAUCUUUAUUUUGCAUUAAAGAAUGAAGUCCAAUUUAGUAUUUUUUUUUUGUUAAAGGUGCAAUUCCAUUAAGAAAAAUUCUGCUGUUAGGAUAGAGUUUUCUAUCAAGUAUCAACACAUAAAAGACAUGAGGUGUGAAAUGUAAAGGAUACUAUGUGAAUUAAAAAGAAAUAGUAUAACCUGUAAACUAAAAGAGAAGCAAUUUUGCCCAGAUAGAGGUUCAGAAUUCAUAUUGAUUGUGUUUUAUUGAAAGAAAAAUAAAAAACAA